GUGGUUCUCAGCUCUGAGGCUGAGUGGAUCUGCAGCACUGUGUGGAGCAGGGGUCUGCAGCAGGUGUCCACAAUGGGACCAGCUCAGGCCACUGCAGGGUGACAGGUCGAGGUGCCCUGGCUCACCUGGGCAGGUCCACUGUGCCUCGGAGCUUCCUGUGCUCGCCACACAUGCCCAGCUGGACCACCCCCCCACCUCCACUUCUUGGUACAUCUGAAGUGACAUUAAAAGAGCCGCCAUCUUCCUUCUGUGGUUAUACUCUCCUGCUGGGUGUUUAAGAUCAAGCUGGCCCAAAAUUGACCUUUUUGGUUUAUGGGUGUUCAUUUUCUAUCCUGCUACUUUGCUGAAUUCAUUUAUUAGUUCUAGAAGUUUUCUGGUGGAAUUUUUUGGAUCUUUUGGGUAUUGAAUCAUAUUGUUGACAAAUAGUGAUAAUUUGAUUUUUUCUUUUCUUAUCUGUGUCCCUUUAAUUUCUUUUGUCCAAUUGCUCUGGCUGGAGUUUCAAGAACUAUGUUAAAUAGAAGUGGUGAGAGAGGGCAUCCCUGUCUUGUUCCAGUUUUUAGAGGGAAUGCUUUCAAUUUUUCUCCAUUUAGAAUGAUGUUGGCCUGGGGCUUAGCGUGGAUAGCUUUUACAAUGUUGAGAUAUGUUCCUGUUAUCCCUAGUUUUUCUAAUGUUUUGAACAGAAGGAGUGCUGUAUUUUGUCGAAUGCUUUUUCUGCAUCUGUUGAGAUGAUCUUAUGAUUCUUAUCUUUAAGUCUAUUGAUGUGAUGAAUUACAUUUAUUGAUUUCCAUAUGUGGAACCAAUCUUGCAUCCCUGGGAUGAACCCCACUUGAUUGUGGUACACUAUCUUUUUGAUAUGUUUUAUAUGCAAUUUGCUGGAAUUUUAUUGAGAAUUCUUGCAUCUGUGUUCACUAGAGAUAUUGGUCUGAAGUUUUCUUUCUUUGAUGUGUCUUGUCUGGUUUGACUGCAAAUAGGUGCAAUCAACAUGGAAAGCAAUAUGGAGAUUCUUUGGAAGACUUGGGGAACCAUCAUUUGACCUAGCUAUCUCACUCCCUGGUUUAUACCCACAGGAUUUAAAAACAGCAUACCAUAGUGACACAACCACAUCAAUGUUUACAGCAGCACAAUUCACAAUAGCUAUGUUAUAGAACCAACCUCAAUGGCCUUCAGUAGAUGAAUGGAUAAAGAAACUUUGUAUAUACAUAAUGGAAUAUUACUCAGCAUUAAAAGAGAAUAAAAUCAUGGCAUUUGCAGGUAAAUAGAUGGAGUUGGAGAUUAUGUUAAGUGAAGUAAGCCAAUCCCCCCAAACCAAAUGCCUAAUGUUUUCUCUGGCAUGAGGAUGCUGAUCCAUAAUGGGGGUGAGGCGAGCAUGGGAGGAAUGGAGGAACUUUGGAUAGGG
rnacentral:lncRNA from 1 species